rnacentral:tRNA from 2 species
GCCCUUGUAGCCAAACUGGAUUAAGGCAGACGGCUUCUAUCCGUAAGACUUGAGGGUUCGAGUCCUUCCAAGGGCG